rnacentral:rRNA from 1 species
GGUUCGCCGCCCGUGACUCUGCGAGAAGUCCAUUGAACCUUAUCAUUUAGAGGAAGGAGAAGUCGUAACAAGGUUUCCGUAGGUGAACCUGCGGAAGGAUCAUUG